ensembl:snRNA U7 U7 small nuclear RNA
UGAAGUUACAGCUUUCAGAAUUUGUUUAGCGGGUUUUCCGGUUUUCACUUGAAAAUGCCCCA